GGCGCGAUAGCAAAGCGGCAAUGCAGCGGAUUGCAAAUCCGCGAAGUCCGGUUCGACUCCGGAUCGCGCCUCCA
rnacentral:tRNA from 4 species